rnacentral:tRNA from 1 species
GAAAGUAUAGCUCAGUGGUAGAGCAUGUGCCUAGAUGCACAAGGUCCUGGGUUCAAUCCCCAGUACGUCCA